rnacentral:rRNA from 1 species
CCUACGGGUGGCAGCAGUGGGGAAUAUUGCACAAUGGGGGAAACCCUGAUGCAGCGACGCCGCGUGAGUGAAGAAGUAAUUCGUUACGUAAAGCUCUAUCAGCAGGGAAGAAAAUGACGGUACCUGAGUAAGAAGCCCCGGCUAACUACGUGCCAGCAGCCGCGGUAAUACGUAGGGGGCAAGCGUUAUUCGGAUUUGCUGGGUGUAAAGGGAGCGGAGACGGUGCGCCAAGUCUGGCGUGAAAUGCCGGGGCUUAACUGCGGAACUGCUUUGGAAACUGGCGAACUAGAGUGCGGGAGGGGGAAGCGGAAUUCCUAGUGUAGCGGUGAAAUGCGUAGAGAUGAGGAGGAACACCGGUGGCGAAGGCGGCUUACUGGACAGUAACUGACGUUGAGGUGCGAAAGCGUGGGGAGCAAACAGGAUUAGAUACCCGGGUAGUC